GGUGGGUGGGGGAAUGGGGAGAGGGAGGAAGGUGAUAGCAUGGUCUCUAUAGAGAAAACGAGCUCCUGAACCUAUCACCGGUGAAGAAGCACAUGGAUCUCUAUCAGACAGAACUUUCAUGAAUUAAAAAAACCUUGUGGCAAGAUUCUGCUACAAGUCUGAGAUUUGUUACUGUGGAGUUGGAAGAAAUACCAGAAAAGUAACUGAAAUCCCAAGUUAGGAGAAGGAGAUCAUUUCUUGGGACAGAGGUUUCCUUGGAGAUGAGUGCGGGGACCCUCCAUAUGAGGUGGGUAGGUAGACGUGACCUCCCUAGCUUUGUCAGCAGUUUUUCAGGAGGGAAAACUGCCUAACCUUUGGGAAUACGCUGCUGCUGAAUGUUCUUCCUAGGCUCUGUGAGUGGAGAGAGACGACAGAUAAGCUACUUCGUGAGCCACAAUAUGUGUACUGUAUUUCGAGGGAGAUAGUCCAAACUUUUAUUCUUGAAAGAUAAAACUGUUAAAAGAGGUCCCAGAAGCCACUGACAGUUGCAGAGGUCAGCACCCCCACAGGGCAAAACCAGGACAGGGGGAGACAGAAGUCCAGAGUUGGGCCAUGCCUAUUUAAGACAGCAUGUGGCGUGUGGUUUCCAGUGUUUUGAUUGAGAAAGAUAAAUCUUAGUUUUGCAGAAGAGGAUAAAUGAUCAUGAGGAUGAGAGAGGGUCUCUGGAGACCACAGAGGUUCACACUCACAGUUAAUUAAAAAAACUGUUUCUGUGUAGAGAAAUGACAAAAGUGGUAUGACCGGCCAGUGUGAGUUCUCACCAAAUGCUAGAGUAUACCGCCUGAAGCCAGGAAGAAAUAACCGAAGAACAGGUGAAAAGAGAGACUGCAUGAAGAUGCGGUUUUUCUGACCAAAAGCAAUAAGACACGGUAGAAAGUGUGGAUGGGUCUAAGGAGGGAUUUGAAAACUCAGUCCCGGGCUGCUGUGGGCCGUGCCCGUCUUGUGCAGAUGUUCUCCGAGAGGCCAGCCCUGUCCUCAGAGUGGCCCCUGGGAGCAGCCCGUGCCCACCCAGAAGUGUGUGUCUGUGUCUGUUUGUGUCCAGAGUUCUCUGACACAUGCCCCCGCCCGCCCCCGCCCCCUUGGUGGCAUUUGAUUAAGCUGUUCUCUAGCCUGGCCCCCGCCCCCACGCGGCUCGUUUCCCCAUCUGUGACUGACGUUCCCCAGAGGUGGCGGGGCGGGGGGGGGGUGGGGCACGCCUUUCCAUCUUCUCCACGCUGUCCUGCAGUCCGUACGCGCCGACCUGAGAGGAGAAUGAAUGGCUGCAGCAGCUGCGAGGGGAGCCUGCAGGGGAUAGUUGAGCGUCUGUGCCUGCGAUGUCUUUUGGCCUUGAAACGAGUUCACGAAGGCAGAGGGGCUUUCUCUUCCCCUUCCCAUCCCAGUGCUACCAAGCUGUCCAUCCUCGGGGAUAAGUAGACUAGUUGAACUUGAAAUAGAUCUUUUAGAGGAAACCCCCACCCCACCUUCCCAGACCAACUCCUCCCCGUUUCCCCCCUCCAUACAGUGUGUAUACAGGAGGGUACGGCGCUGUUCUCGGCAGCACAGGCUUUGGCUUAUCGGAGAGGCAGCCAGGCGUUUUGCACUAGGAAAAAUCAGUGGUCACUUUUCAGAAGACGUCUAUGGACCAUAAAUAUAUUACGGAGGAACAGAUUUUGCUAAGACAUAAUCUAGUUUUGUAACUCAAUCAUGGAUCAACCACACGUGGCUACCUUGCAGUUUAAAGGGGGUCCCAUCAGUGAAAAACAGAUUUUUUUUUUUUUUGGCUGACUGCUUUUAGCUAAAUUUAAGAAAGUCAUCUCUUGUCAAAAGGUUUCCACCUUCCCGUCUCGAUCUUAAAAGCAUGUCAAACAAUCCACAUCAGAUGCCAAACACGUGAACUGCAAGAGAAAAAUGGUACAAUCGUAGUGAAUGGGAAUCUGAAUCAAAAGGGUUUGCUGUCCUUCUUAGAAUGUUCAAAAAUGUCAAGGCAGUUGCUUGUGUUUAACUGUGAACAAAUAAAACUUUAUUGUUUUGCA
ensembl:lncRNA